rnacentral:rRNA from 1 species
GGGACAACAGUUGGAAACGACUGCUAAUACCGCAUAAUCCCUGAGGGGGAAAGAUUUAUCGCUUUAAGAUUGGCCCGCGGAAGAUUAGGUAGUUGGUGGGGUAAAGGCCUACCAAGCCGACGAUCUAUAGCUGGUCUGAGAGGACGAACAGCCACAUUGGAACUGAGACACGGUCCAGACUCCUACGGGAGGCAGCAGUGAGGAAUAUUGGGCAAUGGAGGAAACUCUGACCCAGCCAUGCCGCGUGAGUGAAGAAGGUUUUCGAAUUGUAAAGCUCUUUCGGAUGGGACGAUGAUGACGGUACCAUCUAAAGAAGCCCCGGCAAACUUCGUGCCAGCAGCCGCGGUAAUACGAAGGGGGCAAGCGUUGUUCGGAAUUACUGGGCGUAAAGGGUGUGUAGGCGGAUUUGUAAGAUAGUGGUGAAAUACCUGAGCUCAACUUAGGAAUUGCCAUUAUAACUAUAGAUCUGGAGUGACAGAGAGGAUAUUGGAAUACCCAGUGUAGAGGUGAAAUUCGUAGAUAUUGGGUAGAACACCAGUGGCGAAGGCGAGUAUCUGGCUGUCAACUGACGCUGAGGCACGAAAGCAUGGGGAUCAAACAGGAUUAGAUACCCUGGUAGUCCAUGCUGUAAACGAUGAAUGCUAGUUGUCGGCAAAAGCCGGUGACGC